AUUGAACGCUGGCGGCAGGCCUAACACAUGCAAGUCGAGCGAGCGGCGGACGGGUGAGUAAUGUAUGGGGACUGCCCGAUGGAGGGGGAUAACUACUGGAAACGGUGGCUAAUACCGCAUACUAUCGGAUAACCCAUAUGGGAUUAGCUAGUAGGUGGGGUAAAGGCUCACCUAGGCGACGAUCGCUAGCUGGUCUGAGAGGAUGAUCCACAGCGUUGGAUCGUGGCCACGGCCCAGUCUCCUAUGGACGCAGCAGUGGGGAUUAUUGCACUAUCGUCGCAGCCCUGAUGCAGCCUUCCCGCGUGUUUGAAGCAGGCCCUAGGGUUGCUACGUACUUUCAGCGGGUAUGUGUUGCCCGCUGACGAAGCACCGGGUAACUCCGUGCCGGCAGCCGCGGUAAUAC
rnacentral:rRNA from 1 species